CUGCAUCGCGCUCAACCUCAAAGGUAUUGAUUAUGAGUACAAGGCGGUGAACCUCCUCAAGGGCGAGCAGUCUGAUCCCGAGUUCAUGAAGCUUAAUCCUAUGAAGUUCGUCCCUGCAUGGGUCGACGGCGACGAGGUAAUUGAUGACUCUUACGCAAUAGCAUUG